rnacentral:rRNA from 1 species
AUUGAACGCUGGCGGCAUGCUUUACACGUGCAAGUCGAACGGCAGCGCGGGCUUCGGCCUGGCGGCGAGUGGCGAACGGGUGAGUAAUACAUCGGAACGUGCCCAGUAGUGGGGGAUAGCUCGGCGAAAGCCGGAUUAAUACCGCAUACGACCUGAGGGUGAAAGCGGGGGAUCUUCGGACCUCGCGCUAUUGGAGCGGCCGAUGGCAGAUUAGCUAGUUGGUGGGGUAAAGGGCUACCAAGGCGACGAUCUGUAGCUGGUCUGAGAGGGCGACCAGCCACACUGGGACUGAGACACGGCCCAGACUCCUACGGGAGGCAGCAGUGGGGAAUUUUGGACAAUGGGCGAAAGCCUGAUCCAGCAAUGCCGCGUGUGUGAUGAAGGCCUUCGGGUUGUAAAGCACUUUUGGCGGGAACGAAAAGGACUGUGCCAAUACCACGGUUCGAUGACGGUACCCGCAGAAUAAGCACCGGCUAACUACGUG